GCCCAGGCCUGGGCAAUGUUUGGCUUGGCAAACUGCUGGGCAAAGUGGUACCAGGAGCCCUGCCAUGCUGUGGCUCAAGGGUCUGUUCCCAGGGCCCCAGCUCUCCCUCCUCUUCACGGUCUCUGGAUAUGGCAGGUGGAUCCUAACAGCUUUAAGGACUGCCUCCCACAGGGGUUGUGGCCUGGAGCUCUCUGGGGCCCAGGGAUGCUGGCUUUGAGCCUUUCCUGAAAAUGAGUUAGAUGGAGGCUCUUUUGGUCCCCUCACCAAAUCCACGGUUGUCUGGUGUGGACAGGACGGGCACAGGCCUGAAAGGUGUGGAGGAGCAUGUGCCUGGCAUGGCGAAGCCUGGACAGCCAGAAAGGCUCCCUCUGCAGAGCCCGCCUCUUCUGUAUAAGACCGGGCAGGUGGGACCUGCAAAUGCGCCGUUUGGUGUCAUGGUGCUGGCACUGGCUCGAGCCCUUGUCACCCAGCUCCUCCUUGGUGCCAAGUGGCCAGAGCACUUCUAGAACCAUCUGCUGGGUUUGAGAUCAGAAGCCGGCGGCCUGUGGCUCCAUCUAGAUCCAGCGGCACUGUGACGCGAUAGACGGAACACACAGAGUUACAGCAGCGGGAGAACAGAAGCCGCUGCCUUCAGGAGUGACCGCCACUGUGGAAGUUUCCAUUCAUUAAUGUCCAAAUCUCCCUGAAAAAAAUUAGAAAGCUUUGGAUGCUAGAAGGAUUCUUAUUAUUUUAACAACACCAAAAGCCACUAAACUCUUCUAAUUGAGAACACUCGCUUAGGGACUGUUACAAAAAUGACUUCUUGAUGGACUAGGGAAAGACAUCUAAAUUCCACUUUGGGGGGGAAGUGUCUUUCUCUGCCAGGGAGAGCUGGCUUUUCAAAUGUUUUCAAUCACUGUCUCCGGCACAAGCCUUUACGUUUAGGCCAGCCGGGGCUAAAAAGUUGGAAGAUCCUAUCUCAGAGUGUUGGGUUAUGAAAACAGGAGACCACCUCUUGGAAGUACAGGUAUUCAGGAGGACGUGCAUGCACACCAGGGGACCCCAGAGGACAGCUGAGUGUCACUCAGGUGUUUCCUCUUCUUCUCAGAGAUUUCCAAUUAUCCAGGAAGCCACCGUCCCCUUUGGCAAGGCCUGGGAUGCCAGGCUCAAGGAGGCUGCGGUGCCCCCUCCGUUUUGAGGGCAGCGGCUCGGUGGGAAAGUCGAUGGGUAGCUGGAACUGAUAACACGAGCCUUUGGGGAAAGGACAGGGUGUGGAGGAAGAGAAGGGAUUUCUGCAGCGGGGCCAGGCUCCCGGGAGACGCAUGGAGACUUGCGGGCCUCAGGGAGGGAAGGCCUCGGUAUCCUCAGGGGCUCACCUGGGCUCUGAUCCUACUUGUGCUGUCAAUGCAAAGGCUGUGUGUGUUCCCAGGACUUCCCACCACCAUUUGUCUCGGCAGCUGCUUGCUGGUAUGUGUAUGACCCAGGCCUCACAGCUGUGUCUGUGGGGCAGGCUAGGCCUCCCCGCCCCCGCCCCUCCGAGCAAUGCCUUUCAGGAAGCCUCCCGUGGCUGCGCAGGUCUCAAAACCCUGUGAACGCUUCAGGAACAUGCCGGGCCCCUGGGCCAGCCUCCCUCCCCGCUACAGACACGACGCUGCUCCGUCAGGAUGAGCGCACUGCCUCACUUCCCGAUGCUCCUGUGGGCCCCGAGGCUUUGGGACACUUGGGGUUUCAUGACACAUCUUUACGGUCCUAUGCUUCUGUUAAAAAUAGAGCAAAAAUCCCCCAAUGCAAACCUCUUGCAAAUGACUGGCUUUAGCAGUCAGGACCUGCUUAGAAGGAAAGAGGCCCAUCGCCCACCAGGCUGCAAACACCUAGAUCCGCGUGCCAGCCGCCUUCCUGAAGGAAGAGCAGACAGAGGUGGGUGCGACAGUGGCUCGGCGUGCCCCUCGAGGAGAAGGGCUCAGCCUAGGCGACUCCGAGGGCCCCAGGAGAGGACAUUCUGGCUGGGAGGGGGAAGUCCCACGUGUGUCUGGAACAUUUAAUUCAGAUUGUUCCAAGCCGACAGAAGGGUGACACCAAUGUGAGGAAAUGGCUCCAGAGAUAGAUGUGGGUAAAUACAACCAAUCCUUCAAAGGUGAAGUAUGGAUCACUUUCUACAUUUAAUAAAGACAUUUUCUCAUUUG
rnacentral:lncRNA from 1 species